rfam:Streptococcus sinensis strain HKT4 scaffold37, whole genome shotgun sequence.
AUCAGAUGAAGACCUCCUAACUUUGUUUGAUAGAACUCCUAAACUUUUCUUUUUCAUAAUAAUCUCCCGAAAAGGCAGCCUCCGAGGUUGUCUUUUC